rnacentral:rRNA from 1 species
UACGGAAGGGGCAAGCGUUGUUCGGAAUCAUUGGGCGUAAAGGGCGCGUAGGCGGACAGUUUAGUCAGAGGUGAAAGCCCAGGGCUCAACCUUGGAAUUGCCUUUGAUACUGGCUGUCUUGAGUUCGGGAGAGGUGAGUGGAAUGCCGAGUGUAGAGGUGAAAUUCGUAGAUAUUCGGCGGAACACCAGUGGCGAAGGCGGCCAUCUGGACCGCAACUGACGCUGAGGCGCGAAAGCGUGGGGAGCAAACAGGGAUUAAGAAACCCCUG